GAAUCACAACAAUGUUUUCCAGAAUUGGAAAAACCCUUAGGAACGUCUUUAGGUGUAACCCUAAGGAUGUUCCUAAAAAAACGCAACGUGUCUCGGACACGGGAGCCGAGGAGCCUUCAGGAUCUACAACAACAACUGGAAGGCUCAGAAGACUCGGCCGAAUAUUCACCACCAUGUGUGGCUCUGGG